UUUCUGCCUUUGACGGGUUCGCU
rnacentral:miRNA from 1 species